GUACAAAAGGUGGGCAGGAGAACUCAGUUGGGGCCCAGCUGGCAGAGGAGCCAGACAGCUCCUGCAAGCUCCCGAACUGGGAGGAUGCCGCAGACUCUGAGGAAGCUGAGGACUGACCAGGUCCACCAGUGCCAUUUACAUACCUGAACACAGAGGAGCUGCAAGCCCUGAUAGAGGCCCUUUUCCCUGAUGACCAGGAUGACCUUCUACAGAGCCAGGCAACCUCCCAGAGAUGUAAUGAGGCGGAUUGGCUGCCCACACACCCAGACGGGAAGGGGCCAUUCUCCCCUAUGGACUACACUUGGUGGAGAAUGUGGGCAUCGGCCCAACCCCAACAGCCCGCCACCAGGAACCCUAAAAGAAAGGGGGAAAAAUGGAGUUUGAGAUGCUUAUUAAAUAUCUGGUUGAAAGCCAGCAACAGUAACUGGUGCAGCAGCUGGGGGCCCAGCAGCAGAAGUUACUCCGGGAGUUGGGGGCCCAGCACCGAGAGCAACAGUGUCUCCAGCAACUUGCGACCCUGCUGCCUUGACCUAGUCCAGCCCCGGCUGGGGCCGCAGGGAAUCCCCCUGAUCCCUCAGUGCCAUAAGACUCUCCAAGAUGGGACCCAAAGACAACCCUGCGGCGUUCCUUGUCACCUUUGAGUGGGUCGCGGCAGUGGCGUGGUGGCCCAAAGAGCAGUGGGCCACUCUCCUGGCCCCGUACUUGACCAAGACUGCGCAGACCACCUAUCGGGGGCUUCCUCUGGGUGAGGUGCAAGACUAUGGGCAGGUGAAGUCGGCCAUCUUAGAUGCCCUCGACAUCAUGCCUGAGACCUUCCGUUGGCAGUUCCGGAUGACAACCUACCUGCCAGGCGCCCAGCCCCACGUCGUAGACCAGGAAAUUAAAGAUCUCUGGUGGUGAUGGCUUCUUCCAGAGCGAUGCUUGGCGAGUGAACUUGCCAAACAGGUCACCCUAGAGCAGUUCAUCCAGGUGCUCCCUCCCCACGGUAGGGCGUGGGUACUCCGCCACUGUCCGAUGACCUCAAAUGCGGUGGUCACCUUGAUGGAAGACUUCCUGGCUGCACAGAUCCAUAUCAGUCCAGGAACCCAGACCAUGGGCCCUGCGCCGACCUGAAGACCCGGACCCAAGAUGGAACACCUGAUCACAGACCCACACUUACGUCUCCCGUCACCCCACUGAUUUCCCACACCAGGCGACCUCCCAGAGACUUAGUGAGGCGGAUUGGCCCCCCACAGACCCAGAGGGGGCGGGGCCAUUCCCUCCCAAUGGACUACAGUUGAUUAUGACUACAUUUGAUGAUGAUCAUUUGGAGAUACUUCAUGGGUGGAAGGAUAGUCUUGAGGUUAAAGCAGAGGACUAGGCAACACUGGACCUGGUUUCUAUUCCUAGCUGUGCCAUAAACUUCCUAUGUGAUCUUGAGUAACUUGCUUAACAUCUUGGGGUCUCAGUUUUCCUUAAUUCAUGGGCGGACGGGGGUGUGUGUGUGUGUGUGUGUGUGUUUAAGGAUAAACUAAUUGUUUGUAAAGUGUGUUGAGGGCCUUGUAAAGGGCGUUGAGGACCUUCAAUGAAAGGUGCCAUAAAUUAGAUUUCUCCAUUCUUCCAUUUAGUUAAGGGACUUUCUCUAGGGCCUAUUCGGGAAGUAAAUGCUGCAAAUAGAGAUAAUUUUGUCCUUUGUUAGCUGGUCUAGUCUAGCCAUACUUUGGGCACAAAGAUCAACAUUUUGAGGUGGCUGAAUAGCCCACUAAAUUAAUUUGUAGCAUGCCUUUUAUGCAGGCAUAUAGCACUAUUUGUUUGUUAAGGUAUAUGUAUAAUGCAAGAUAUUUUGCUGCUGGACCAAAAUAGUACACUCUGCAGGAAAGCAUUUGGAAGCAAAAAACGUGAUAAGCAAAAUAUGAUAAAAUAACUUAAAUAGUGGCAAGAUUUGGCCUGCUUUUCAAGGGCUUCCUUCUGGAUUCACUCCUUGGUGUGAACCCUGUGACAGUGCUUGUGGUCCUGAGCCCAAGCAGCUGCUCCUGGUUGGAGGGGUCUGAGUUGAAACUUCAUGGGCAGAUUCAAAUAAUCCCAAAUCAGAGCCCAGCCAGUUGGGUUGGCAGUAGCUCAGUCGAUGUUGUGAGCUUCCUCUGCUGGGCUACGUAAGGAGCCUUCUAAGGUGCACAGGUCCGUUUCUGCUCUCUGCAUGUUGGAGUUCCAUCUUGUUUCUUCACCUGAGGACUCAAAAGCCACAGGUUUACCUGUGCUCAUAUCAGGAAGGGGAAUUAUUUCUAAUUCUGAGUCCAACCACAUUUGAUACCUGAAGUUUUAAAGUACAUUUCUUAGGGAAACUGUUUUUAAUUUUGGUUUAAUCUGUACUGAUUAAAAAUGU